GAGGGUAUAGCUCCAUGGUAGAGUGCAUGCUUAGCAUGCACAAGGUCCUGGGUUCAAUCCCCAGUACCUCA
rnacentral:tRNA from 1 species